GACGAACGCUGGCGGCGUGCCUAAUACAUGCAAGUAGAACGCAGUUGCGAACGGGUGAGUAACGCGUAGGUAACUGCCGUAUAGCGGGGGAUAACGAUUGGAAACGAUAGCUAAUACCGCAUACUGUGAGAUGGACCUGCGUUGUAUUAGCUAGUUGGUGAGGUAAAGGCACACCAAGGCGACGAUACAUAGCCGACCUGAGAGGGUGGUCUGCCACACUGGGACUGGGGAACGGCCCAAGCUCCUGCGGGGAGGAACCGUAGGGAAUGUUCGGCAAAUGGCGGAAGUCUGGACCAGCAACGCCGGGUGAGUGGAAGAGGGUUUCGGGUCGUAAAACUCUGUUGUUAGAGGAGCGGUAACUAACCAGAAAGGGACGGCUAACUACGUGCCAGCAGCCGCGGUAAUUC
rnacentral:rRNA from 1 species